AAAGUACUCCCUCCAUCCAAAAAUUCUUGUCUUAGAUUUGUCUAGAUACAGAUGUAUCAAGUCACAUUUUAGUAUUAGAUACAUCCGUAUCUAGACAAAUCUAAGACAAGAAAUUUGGGACAGAGGGAGUAGUUG
rnacentral:pre_miRNA from 1 species